UCAAAACAAAAGGGUGGACUUACUUCUACAUACAAGUUGUGUUUUAUUAGGGUGGACCUAAGAACACAAAUUAAGUGAACAAAAAUUUAAGAAAAAUAAACAUAAAUUUAAAUAAUUAGACAUUACAUAAAUAAAAAAAAUUAAUAAUUUAAUUGAAAAAAAAUAUUUAACAAAAUAAACAAAACUAAUAUAAUAUAAAUUGAGGGUAAUGUCGCGGUCAAGUAUUCACCGUUUAACGAAAAAACAAAAGUAAGAGCUUCAGCAAUCGGCUGCUAGAGCUCUUACUUUUGAUUCAGAAAAUAAUUCUGGAAAUGAAUGCCCAAAUUUAUGUGAACCCGAAUCGGAUAAAAGCGCAUUAAACUAUUCUUUUGAAUAUGAUACCUAUGACGCGGAUCUUAAAAAUGCAUUUGUUGAUUGCGAAAAUAAACCGAAUCUCCGUGAAAAAUUAUUAGAAUGGUACCAUAUUAAUAAUGUUACUAGAGAUCAACUUAAUACUAGAUCUUCAGUAGGAUAUUAAGUCCAAGUUGGAUAAUGGAGCUUAAUUAUGGCGGGACUAGGGACAGGGAAGGUUUUGCGUCCUACAUUCAUUUAAAUGAAACAUUAUUCGAGUCACAAAGACGGGCGGCUACCGCUUCACCGACCACAUAAAAGACCUUUGACUGGGCUUAGACACUAGGGCUAAGAACAAAACUUACAACGCUAAAAGUAUAGCAAAAAGGAUGAGAGAAGAAAAAAACGACCCG